UGUUUGAUGUUCUAACGUGGACCCGUGAUCCGGGUUGCGGACAGUGUCUGGUGGGUAGUUUGACUGGGGCGGUCUCCUCCUAAAGAGUAACGGAGGAGCACGAAGGUUGGCUAAUCCUGGUCGGACAUCAGGAGGUUAGUGCAAUGGCAUAAGCCAGCUUGACUGCGAGCGUGACGGCGCGAGCAGGUGCGAAAGCAGGUCAUAGUGAUCCGGUGGUUCUGAAUGGAAGGGCCAUCGCUCAACGGAUAAAAGGUACUCCGGGGAUAACAGGCUGAUACCGCCCAAGAGUUCAUAUCGACGGCGGUGUUUGGCACCUCGAUGUCGGCUCAUCACAUCCUGGGGCUGAAGUAGGUCCCAAGGGUAUGGCUGUUCGCCAUUUAAAGUGGUACGCGAGCUGGGUUUAGAACGUCGUGAGACAGUUCGGUCCCUAUCUGCCGUG
rnacentral:rRNA from 4 species